UUUUGUGAUUUUAGCGAAUUAAUCACAAAACAUUCGGUAAGUACAUCACAACUCCGCAGUUAAAUGUACUGAACGAGAGUAGUACUAGAAUGGGUGACCUUCCGAAAAGUCUUCGUGUUGCAUCCC